rnacentral:rRNA from 1 species
AUGAAUAUCGCUCUCCUCUCCCGAUGGCUUUGGCGCAUCUUGCAAGGGCAUGGUGGGUUGUGGCUAGACAUCAUCCGGAACAAGUACCUGCGUGGCCAACCUUUGGCCUUCUAUCAACGGUCUGGUGGAUCCCAAUUUUGGCAGUCUGUGAUCCAAUUGCUCCCCAUUCUUUGUAUUGGGACCUCCAUUUCAGUGGGAUCAGGUUCAGCGACCUUGUUCUGGUUCGACCGAUGCGCGGGAGACUCGCCCUUCGCGGCCCAGUUUCCCGAGCUCUUCUCCAUCGCUGUCAUCCCGAUGAUCUCAGUUGAAUGGGCCCUUAUUGACUUAGGGCGCCUUGCUUUCCGGAGGCCAUUUGGGCCUCCGGAAACUGCCGCUUGGGAGGAGCUUCUUGAUUGCAUCGCCCUCCAUGAGCCGGACAUCGACGCUGGCCCGGACCAAGUUCGGUGGCGCCUUGACCCUUCGGGCCAAUUCUCCACCAAGUCCCUCUACUCGGCCAUCGCUCCGUCCUCCGCUCCAUCCCCCCUCCUGGUGGUAUGGCCCAUCCGUCUGCCUCUGAAGAUAUGGAUCUUCAUGUGGCAAUGGAUCCGCGGCUGGCUCCCUUCUGGAGUGGAGGUCCGCAAGCGCAAUGGUCCGGGCUCUGGUCUUUGCCCGCUCUGUAGUAUCCCCGAGGACUCGAAUCACAUCUUUUUCGCCUGCGUAUCUGCCCAGUUCGUCUGGAGCUGUUUUAGAGAGGCGGUGGGGGGGAUUGGUGCCACACCAAUUUCCCCGACCUAUUCGCCGAACUCCAGAACUCCCCCUGCCCACUCGCCACAUUAG